ensembl:rRNA 5S_rRNA 5S ribosomal RNA
GUCUAUGGCCAUGCCACCGUGAAUGCACCCAAUUUCACUGGAUCUUGGAAGAUAAGCAGGGUCAUGCCUGGUUAGUACUUGGAUGAGAGACCUCCUGGGAAUAUUGGGUGCUGUAGGCA